AUUCUGUUGAGUUGGGACAAAUCCUCACAAUGUCUAAAUGCGCGGUGUUGAUGCAGUUGUGACAUGUCUCAUUCGUAACAUAAUCGAGGCACAUAUAAAGGCCAUAAACUCUAUCUGGUUCAUUUCCAACGGAGGUAUUGUACAGCUUGGAAACAGAAGCAUUCGAAGGCAAUGAAUUGAGCAGGCUCUGAAGGUUUUUCUGAAACGUACUAUUUUCGACAUAACCGCGAACAUCUGAGCACAACUUGUAUGGAGGAUCAGCAUAAGCAAGAUCAAAAAGGAAGGUGAUGAGAUAACAAAGCAAAAAAAGAGAGAUUGUUUUCGGAACACAAGGGAAAUUAGCCAUGUUUUGAUCUCUAAUCAUAGAAAAAGAUUAGGGAAACUUUUAUAUAUAGCUUUGAAGUCUUCUCCUUCCUGCUCGAAAUAUGGUUAAAAAUCUCGGAGUACGAGCACCAUUGAAUUUUUGUGAAUUGAUAGGUAGUUUCUUGGAAGACUUGUUUAAUUAAAUUAGUUAUCAUCACAUCAGUACAAAUUCUAAGAAAACAAAGACUUCGACUGGCUGUAUUUUCCAGGAAAUUUUUCACAGUUGGUCAUGGUUUUGUUUGUAAUUCAGUCAAUGUCACACCACAAGUUGAAAGAUAUAUUAACUCAAAACUAAUAGAUAACGACAGAGACUUCCACAAACCAUCAAAUAAUAUAAUAGUCACACAUGUUUUGCGGUGGUUUACUUAUUUUUAUAUAUACAUGCGAGAUUAGCAUGUUCAGUAGGUCACACAAUUAGAAUUAAACUUCAUUGCCUAGCCUACUCUCCAUGUAUGCAUGCCUGAUUUUCAGACAAAUCUAUUUGAAAUUAUUAGUUUCAUUUUCAUCCAAUUUUGUCAUUAAAAAUAAAACAAUUAAAAUUUCAGAAAAGUUGGUAACUUACAUUCAUGGUCUAAAAUAUCCAUAAUAUCCCGAUAUUUCCAUCGAAAUUUCCAUGUUUUUUUACUACCGAUAUUUCCGAUAUCAUCGAUAUUUUAGACCUUGCUAAGUCACUCAUGUAUCUUACCAUGCAAUGUAUAAGAUGUAAAAUAUUAUACUAAUUCAUUAUAUAUAAAUGAUUAUGGUGUGUUUAAACUUCUUUCAUUAAUUACUACAUAUUUUCUACACUCACAAUGUUUGCCAGCUCGCUAUAUAAUCAACUUAAAUUAGUUAUAUCUAUCAUGCAAUGCAUUCCUUCUAAUUUUUUGUGAUAAACUAGCAGAUAAUUGACUAAAUAAACAUCCUGCAAAGUUUCUGUUGAUGCACAAAAUCAGCGAAGACUUUGGUACAACAGAAAGUGUCAGGUUUUAUGACCUUCGCUUGGUUGCUUCGGUCACUAGUGAGGAUAAGUACGUAAAUGAACAGAGACAGAGAAGCAAACACAGGAUGUACGUGGUUCACCCAGAUUGGCUACGUCCACGGAGUAGAGGAGUUCUUAUUAGUAGUGAAAGGCUUACACAAGUACAAAGGAUCAAGCUCUCAAUUUAGAGUUCUUGUGAAUGAUUUAACACAAAUGGCAUUAGGCCAUAUUGUGGGAGAAUGACCCCUAUUUAUAGAAAAACUUGUAGCUUUGUCACAUUGACAUGUGUCAUAUUAUGAUUGGUUCUUGAUGUUGACACGUGCUGCGCUCUGAUUGGCUUCUAAUCUUGACACGUGUCGAGUAGUGAUUGGCCUCCUGGUCGGAGGGGAACUCUUCUGGGUCCUUGACAGUAUAGCGUUGGCCGGUGCUCGGUAGUUUCGGGAUUGGUCAAGUAUGGUACAAACAGUGCUCCCCUAAGUUCCCGAGUGAGGGAAACUCCUCGGUUGGGGACUUGCAAGAUCUAAUCCCUUGAGUAAUCACGAAACUUCUAAGUACCGAAGUGUGGUCUGAUCUUCAUCUGCCCUUCUCUGGAAGUACCUUUCCUCCAUCCGGGAAUGGUGUAUUUAGCUGAUGUGUUGACGCACAAGGUAAUGUAUCAAUUUCACUUGAAGCUUAGUUGUAGUUUCGGGCUUAGUAAGUGUCAUACAAACCCUAUAGUAGGAGUCCCCCAAGUCGCCGAGCUAGGAGAUCUGCCGAAAGAGGUGACAGACAAGGUAAGCAGUCAAACUUCCAAGUAAGCAACCCAGGAUCAGAGGUUUGACUUCGGCUUCCGGUUGAUUGUUCUCAUUCUCCUUGUCUCUCAUUCAACUGCCAGGAUAAGGAGAAGCAAAUGGAUAAGAGAUGAUAUGAGAUACUUUUGCUUUUUUGAAGAAGUAACUUUCCACAGGCUUAUUCUUGAACUGUGCUGGAGGGUUUUCUGGUGCCCUUCAGAGUAUAAGGCCGACUCAAAAAUUUGAGGGUCAAAACAAGUCCAUCAAAUCUAGAGUACGUUCGACCUUGAUGAUAUGGGAUACUUUUGCUGUUGACGGAAUAGAAUAAUGAAUGUGGUAUGGAAAGGUGUCGUGCUGUAGUGAUCUGUUUCAGCUCACCGUUGAACCUUCUGCUUCAAUCUUUUGCAUGGCAGAAGUGGUGUGCAACCUUUGCAUUUAAAUGGUCCUUCAGAACAUUCCUUCAUAGUGACUCAUCCACGCUUGGCAGCUUCAGUGUAAAGAGCCAAUAUCUGAUCAACUGUCAUGAGGUAUUUGCCGGUGGAAUUCGUGACCUUGACAGCAGUUAAGGAUGAGUACUCGAGAGCAAUGCUAAGUAAGCAACCAGGCAAAGGCUCCAGGCAGUCAGUUCCAAAUUGGAGGUUUGAUUUCAGGUUCCGACUGACUGCUCUCUUUCUCCUUGUCCUGCAGGUGUGGACAAGGACAAAGACAAAGACAGGGAGAAAGCAUGAUAUGGGAUACUCUUGCUUUCGACCCUGAUGAUAUGAGAUACUCUUGUUCUUGGUGUGGCUUAUUUGCUGAGGUAUUAUCGGGGGGGAAAUAAAGCUGAGUAUUUCGAGAGGUUAUGUUGAGGGUGCCUUUUCGAAUGCGAGAAAGGGUUGAGCAUUUUUGCAGGUUUGCCUGUCCGUUGAGGAGGGAGGUCAAUGUAUAUAGGGAUUUCCCAAUAACAAGUAGUAAUGCUAUUCCUUUACCCUUCUUGGUCACAGCAAUGUAGUGGGAGCUGCCAGCUUCACGUGUUUUAAUUUGUGUCAGAGCACUUUGAAAAAGUGGUAUGUGGUAUCUGGAAAGCUGAUAUUACGUGUGAAGAUUACAGACAAGCUUUAUCUAAGGAAAUCUGGCUCUCGAAGUUCUGAGAGUUGUGCCUCUUCGGUUUUCGAACAAGCAAUCCCGUCGAGGAUCUGACUCUCGAGAUUCGGAAAGCGGUGCUACUCCGGUUUUUUGAGAAAGUAAUUAUGUUGGGAGUCUUUUCUCGAAUGUGAGUAAAGGUUGGACGUUCUUGCCAACCUGUCUUGCCGCAAAAACACGGAGGUCGACACACAUAGGGACUUUCCAGUUGUCAAGCAGUGGUGCUGUUCCUUUACCCUUAUGGGUAAUAGUAGGGUAGCUGGAACUUCGAAAUUCUCGUGCCUAAACUUUGUCAGAGAUCUUUGACAAAGUUAUAUGUGGUACCCGAGGAGUUGAUGGUGCAUAUGGAGAGCGGUGAUUGAAUCAGUAAGAUUCACGUGCUUUCUACUUCACCAGAAAUCUUCGACAGAUUGCCCGUAAUUUCCGCAAAGCUGAUUGUGCAUGUGACAGGUGCUGACGAGGCUGAAAAAGCAGGUGCUUCUUCGAUUUCUGAGAUCGGCCCUCGUGGUCUCUGAGCAGCCCAGCUUUUGAGAAAGCAAACGCCUCUUCGAUUUCUGAGAUCGGCCCUCGUGGUCUCUGAGCAGCCCAGCUUUUGAGAAAGCAAACGCCUCUUCGAUUUCUGAAGCUCCGUCGAGUGCAGAUUUUUAUAGAGGCUGGCAUUAAGUUCCACAGCACACUUGAAUCUCUACCAGUAGAAGCUCAUUUCUUGCACUUCUAAGAUCUUGAUUUGUCUGACCUCUUCCCUCUUCAACACAUUUGAAAAUGUCUGGACCCUCCGACCGUCGUUUUGACUUGAACCUUGGAGAAGAGACAGCCACGCCUUCUCCAGACAACAUAUGGCGCCCAUCCUUCAUAUCCCCCUACUGGUCCUCUUACCGUUGGGGAUUCUGUGAUGAAGAAUGAUAUGACCGCUGCAGUGGUGGCCAGGAACCUUCUCACUCCCAAAGAUAACAGACUACUUUCCAAACGGUCUGAUGAGUUGGCUGUUAAGGACUCUCUGGCUCUUAGUGUUCAGUGUGCAGGUUCUGUGUCUAAUAUGGCCCAACGCCUAUUUGCUAGAACUAGAACCGCCAAGUUGAAUCAUUGGCUGCUGAAGUGAUGAGUCUCAAACAGGAGAUUAGAGGGCUCAAGCAUGAGAAUAAAGCAGUUGCACCGGCUCGCCCAUGACUAUGCUACAAACAUGAAGAGGAAGCUUGACCAGAUGAAGGAAUCUGAUGGUAAGGUUUUACUUGAUCAUCAGCGGUUUGUGGGUUUGUUCCAAAGGCAUUUAUUGCCUUCGUCCUCUGGGGCUGUACCUGGUAAUGAAGCUUCAAAUGAUGAACCUCCAAUGCCUCCUCCUUCUGGGGUUUUGUCAAGUACUGAGGCUCCGGAUAACCACCCUCCGGUGCUUUCUCUUUCUGGGGCUCUACCGACUGCUGAGACUUCCCCUAAGCAACCUUUGUGAAGGCUCCCUUUUGUUUUGUUUAUUUUGACUCAUGUAUAUGUACAUAUUUGUGGCUUAUCGAAAAUAUUAAUAAAUAAGCUUUGCUUCAUUUCAACAUAUUGUGUUAAAUACACCAAAGCCUUCUUCAUAAAGUUCUUUGAAUUUUUGCUUUUUGUUGAAACCUGUAUUGUUGAAGCUUUGUGAGUGAAGCAUGUAGUUUGAGGUAGUGUUCCCUUAAUUUCCCGAGUGAGGAAAACUUCUCGGUUGGAGACUUGAAAAAUCCAAGUCACUGAGUGGUUGUGAGACUGCCGAGUAUCAAGGUGCAGUAGCAUAUGGUGGGAGUCCCCCAAGUCUUCAGGCGAAGAGAGUUGCCGAAUGAGGUGUCUCGCGUGUUACUAAUUUGUCAAAGUAACGAAUUCUUGUUUCGAUGUCACACAUUCGUAUAUUUGCUUUAUCUAAAAAAUAUUUCCAACUUUUGUGUGUUUGAUGCUGCAUGCUAUUGACUAGACAAGAUCAAGUGCAAUUAGUAGCUUUUCUCUUUUUUUCAUCUUUUCUUUGGUGGAAUUGCUUUUCGUUUCCACUAAUCAGCCUGAGUGGAUGCAAGAUAACACCUUUCUCUAUAGCUCAGAUUGCAAAGUCGUCUUCAUGAAAGUUUUUCCUUAUCUUGUGAACUACAACAUAUCCAAAUUUGAGAUCCAUCGGAGUAGUACAACUUCAGAAAUUCAAGUAUGAUGAGUAACUGUUCAUCAAUGUUCUGUUAAUCCGUCAGACUUGUUGUGAGCUUCGAAACUCCAUUUUCUCUUGUUCAGAUCAACAUACUUUCUUCAUCGAAGUUGUUCCUUAACUUGUGAACUACAACAUAUCCAAAUUUGAGGUCCCUCGGAGCAGUAUAACUCCAGAAAUCCAGGUAUGAUGAGUGACUGUUUAUCAUUUGUCUGUCAACCCGUCAGAUUUGUUGUGAGCUUUGAAACUCUAUUUUCUCUUGCUCAGAUCAGCAUGCUUUCUUCAUUGAAGUUGUUCCUCAGCUUGUGAAAUACAACAUAUCCAAAUUUGAGAUCCCUCGGAGCAGUAUAACUCCAGAAAUCCAGGUAUGAUGAAUGACUGGUUAUUAUUUUUCUGUCAACCCGUCAGAUUUGUUGUGAGCUUCGAAACUCCAUUUUCUCUUGUUCAGAUCGGUAUGCUUUCUUCAUUGAAGUUGUUCCUCAGCUCGUGAACUACAACAUAUCCAAAUUUGAGAUCCCUCGGAGCAGUAUAACUCCAGAAAAUCCAGGUAUGAUGAAUGACUGGUUAUUAUUUUUCUGUCAACCCGUCAGAUUUGUUGUGAGCUUCGAAACUCCAUUUUCUCUUGUUCAGAUCGGCAUGCUUUCUUCAUUGAAGUUGUUCCUCAUCGACUCUUUCAUAACAUAUCAAAAAUUCAGGAUGAACUAACGGUUAAAUAUUUCCAGAUCUUCGAAACAUCACAACAGCUUCGAAAUCUGCAAGAAGCCGACUAUCAUGUUUGGAGCUUCAACACUUUAAUUUCCGUCGCUCAAACAGAAAUGGUUCCUUCUUGAAAGUUGUUCAUAUGCUCAAGAACUAUAGGGUGUCCAAAAUUCAGCUCCAUUGGAGAAGAGCAGAGGUUGCAGAAAUUUGAUAGAUGAAAGGAGGCGGAAGAGGGAGAGAGAGAAAAAGUCUCUUGGGUUGGAUUUCUAUUUUGGGGCAGAUUCCAAUUUUUGUAGCACCUUCAUUAUUGAUGAAUUGCUUGUACUUUUGUCCAUUAUGAAACUUGGGACUUUGGCUUGUUGUUGGAUCUAUUAUAAUAUGUUUGGGAACAUAUAUAAGUGAAUAAAUAAGAAGGAAAAUUUUGGGCCCUUGUGGGUGUAAAAACAAAAAAUGUUUAUGUUUACCCAAGUGUUUUUGUACAAGUUCAAGGGCAUCUUGGGUUUUGUGAACAAAAUUUGUUUAUUUGGAGCAAGGUUUUGUGUUGAAGCUUUGUAGGUGAAGCUUUGGUGUUGAAGCUUUCUAGGUGAAGCUUUUGAUGGUGAAGCUUUGUAGAUGAAGCUUUGUAGGUGAAGCUUUUAGGUGAAGCUUUGAUGGUGAAGCUUUUGGUGAAGCUUUUGUAGUGAAGAGCUUUCUAGGUGAAGCUUUUUAGGUGAAGCUUUUGUAGGUGAAGCUUUUUUUAAGUGAAGCUUUUCGGGUGAAGUUUUUUUUUUGUGGGUGAAGCUUUGUGGGUGAAGCUUUUUAGGUGAAGCUUUGUGGGUGAAGCUUUGGAGGUGAAGCUUUUUUCGGGUGAAGCUUUUUGGGUGAAGCUUUUUAGGUGAAGCUUUGUGGGUGAAGCUUUGGAGGUGAAGCUUUUCGGGUGAAGCUUUUUGGAUGAAGCUGUUUUUUUUUUUUUUUUUUUUUUUUUUUUUUUUUUGGCGCUUGACACGGUCUUCAUUUGCUUGUUUUGUAGUGACUGUGGAAGACGGAUUGCUUUCUGAUUGAGAAGGGUUCCGGCAUCGCUUGCUAUGAAUGUAAAAGAGUGAGGGCUGAGUUGGCUAAAUUACCUCUUUAUUGAAUUCAUUGCCAAAUGGCCUUCAUUACAUAGGAUGCCGAACGGCUAUAGCUCAACACUUGUACAUCGUGAGUCUAUUUGUAGUAGUACUUCAAGUGAUCAGCGUUCCAUGGAUGGCCAAGGGUCUUGCCAUCGGAGCUUCUAAGUGUGUAAGAGCCAGGGCGACUGAUGCCAAUGACUUCAUACGGUCCAUCCCAGUUUGGACUAAGUGUGCCUUCACUCGGGACUCUGUCGCAGAGUAAUCUUUUCUUUAAGACCCAGUCUCCUAUUUUGAAAGAACGAGGCUUGACCCUAGAGUCAUAAUAGUUGGAGAUGCGCUGCUUGUAGGCGACAUUCCUCAAGUGAGCUUGGUUUCUGUGUUCCUCGACUAAAUCCAAGUUGAGGGUGAGUUGUUUGUCAUUUUCACUUUGAAUGUAGUUCUGGACUCGGAAUGUUGCUUGCUCGAGCUCAACAGGGACAACCGCCUCUGUGCCAAAGGCAAGUGAGAAUGGAGUUUCUCCUGUUGAAGUCCGAUAUGAAGUGCGAUAUGACCAAAGAACUUGGGGUACAAAUUCUGGCCAACAGCCUUUAGCUUUGUCCAAGCUGGUUUUCAAAGUGCGCUUGAUUAUUUUGUUGAUGGCCUCAACUUGUCCAUUAGACUGGGGAUGAGCUGGAGAGGCAAAGCAUAAGUUGAUGUUGAACUUAGAGCAGAACAACCUGAACCUCUUGUUGUCAAACUGUCGCCCAUUGUCAGUGACUAUCGCAUUGGGAAUGCCGAAUCUACAAAGGAUGUUCUUCCACACGAAGUCUUCUAUCUUUGCCUCAGUAAUGGUUGCCAAGGGUUCUACUUUGGCCCACUUUGUGAAGUAGUCCACUGCAACGACUGCGUAACAGACUUUUGCCCUUCCCUGCCGGCAUUGGGCCGAUCAAAUCAAGUCCCCACUGGGCGAAGGGCCAAGGGCUGAUCAUAGGAGUAAGAGGCUCUGGAGGGGAAUGAGGAAUAGUCGCAUAUCGUUGACAUUUGUCACAUGAGCGGGAUACUUUGAUGGCAUCCUGGUGGAGUGUUGGCCAGUAAUAUCCUUGGCGAAAAGUCUUGUGUGCUAGGGACCGAGAUCCAGCAUGAUCUCCACAGACUCCCUCAUGUAUUUCCCGAAGGACGAUUUCCGCCUCGGCAGGCGUAAGACACCUUAAGUAUGGCAGGCUAAAACCUCGCUUAUAGAGUUGAUCAUUGAUGAUCAGGUAGCGGGUAGACUUGUAUCGAAUUUGCUUAGCCUGGACUUUAUCAUUUGGGAGGGUGCCAUGAGCAAGGAAAUUAUAGAUCAGGGUGAUCCAACUAUCCCCCUGUUGUAAGUUGCAUACUUCUGCGGCCAUGGUGCUUGGUGUUGCCAAACAGUUCGACAUGAAUUUUUCUUCCAAUCUUGUCUUCCACAGCCGAGGCGAGGCGAGCCAGGGCGUCUGCAUGACUGUUUGCCGCUCGAGGAACUUGGGUGAUCUGGUAGUGGAAGUGUUUGAGCAAAAGUUGUGUUUGCGCAAGAUAUGCUGCCAUGGAGCUGUCCUUAGCAUCAAAGUUGUUGGUAACCUGGUUGACCACCAAUUGGGAGUCACUGAAAAUAUCAAUUUGUUUAACCCCGAGGUGUUUGGCCAAACGUAAUCCUGCUAGAAGGGCUUCAUACUCGGCCUCAUUAUUUGAUGCCUUGAAUUUGAAACGAAGAGCAUACUCCAUUGCUACUUUGUCGGGUGUAGUCAAGACUAGUCCCGCUCCACAGCCCUGUUGGUUGGAUGAGCCAUCAACAUACAGACUCCAUGCUGGGGUUGUUGGUUCUAUCUUCUGAGCUUCCGGGGGUAAUGAAGCCACUGCUUCAGGUGUAGAAGCAAUGUCAACCGGAUAUGUGAAGUCGGCAAUGAAGUCUGCCACUGCUUGGCCCUUCUCAGCUGGCUUUGGUUGGUAGGAGAUGUCAAACUCACCCAACGCUAUUGCCCAUUUGAUCAUUCGCCCUGAAGUGUCAGGACUUUGGAGUAUCUGUCGAAGAGGAUAAUUGGUAAGCACGAUGAUGGAGUGCGCUUGGAAGUAAGGGCGGAGUUUUCGAGCAGACAUGACCAAUGCCAGAGCCAAUUUCUCAAUGUUGGGACUACUGUUUAUACCAUAUUUAGGGCCUCGUAUAUUUGGGCCUUGGGCCUUAUAUUUAGGCCUCACACUAAAGCCCAUACUUUGUAAAAGAGGAGGAGCCCCUUAUUCUAUAAAAGGGGACUCCUACCCUCAUUCUAGAAAAAAAAGAGCCAAGCCUAAGAAGGCUAAGAGAAGCUCUCAUUACAUUCAGGAGAGACCUCACACCACCGAGGCUCUCAUCUCCCUUCUCUUCUUUCUCUGGGGGACUUCCCCCAAACACUUGUAUCCAUACACUUACAGAGAAACAGAAUCAACUACAGUGUGGACGUAGCCCAAACAUUGGGGUGAACCACGAUAAAAUCCUUGUGUUCUUCGUGUUCUUGAGCGUUUGUGCAGAUUCACGGUCGGAUUUACGUUGUUCCAAGACCAUCCGGUUUUGUGCAUCAACAUUUGGCGCCGUCUGUGGGAAUCGACACGAAAAGCUGUGUCGGUUUCUCUCUCAUUUUUUCACCUCCGCCGUGGAUUUGCAAAAUUCGCAGAAACCAAGAAUCCAAAACUUCCAUUGAAGUGUUUGCUUUUCUUCAAGUUCUUGACAUCAGUAGCAAUUGGGGUGCUUUUAUUCAGUGUCCUGUUUCUUAUGCUGCGCCACAACAUGAAAAGUCUCCAUUACCAAAGAUUCAGUGAGUCAACAAGUAUAACUCAGCCGAGUCAGUCCAAUUUUCAGAGCAAACGACUAGAUCCACUUCUACAACCCAGCCCCAAGGCUCAAAAUGCUCAAAGAUUACAAAUUUACGGUAAUAAUCGCAUGGAAAGUCAGUCCAAUCGAAGACCCAGAACCACUGACACUCACACAGAGAACCACCACGCAGUCAAUGGCGGACGACGAGCAGGCGACGGCGAUCACCAGUAGGCGACGGAAUCGAGGACCAGAGGCGUCGACCCGUGCCGGAGCCCUCGAAUGCCUCAAAACUCUCUGUCAUGGCGGUCGCCGAUCUGAAACUGGCGGGUUUCCAAAUGGAGGACCGAAUCUGCGACACUGUCGGAGACGACGAGUACGACGCAGUCGUUGCCAAACGACGGGAAGAGGUCCGAGGCUCCAUCGUAGACGACAACGGCCUAGGGUACUGCGAUGAGAGCGAGGAAGAAUGACAUUUCGGGGAUUGGGAAGGCGUUGUAUCAGAAUUUCUCGAAGAAGAAGCAGCGCCUCUAGGUUGUUUCAGUGCUCAAUUUAGUUGGUCAGAAGGAGGGUCCACCGUCGAUCGGAGAGGAGCCUGAGCCCAAGAGCGAGAGCAAUGUCAGUAGGCUCUUGGCAAAGCUGGGGAGGAUCAUGUACAUAUGAUUGUAUCGGAGGAGCAGGGGUGUCAGGAUGCUACACACCAAAACGGCGUCGUCCGUUUCCAGCUUCAAUGGCGGUGAAGUACGAGUGCUGCACCAGUAGAUUCUUCAUUCACAUAGUGGUCAUCAUACUACUAAUGCUGCUCACGGUGCUAAUGUCCGAGCUCACCUUGGGCCUCAUGUCCAUGAGCCUCGUCGAUCUCGAAGUCCUCGCCAAGUUUGGGAUGCCGAAGGAUCACAGGCACGCCUCGCAUCCAGCACCACCGAAGGGCAAGUAACAAUGGUUGAUCAGGUUCAACAUCCCUCUGUCAUCCAUAAGGUCGCGGUUCAGUCCGUCGUUUCCAAUAUCUCCGUUCUUGAGCAGCUCAAGACUUUUGCAGAUGACAGAAUGAUGAACUUGACACUGAGAUAAGAUUCCUCCUUUUUUAUUUUACUUUGUCAUCAUUACGUGUCCCACCCAUGAACAGGACUCCAUUUCUGUUGUCAUCAUUACGUGUCCGACCUCCAAGCAUUUUAUGAUCUUUCUGAUGUUUUCCCUAAUAUGGGAGUAUGAGUAAGAUAUUUUGCUGUCUGGUAAAGUUUUGAAGGAGCAAGGUAACACCACCGACAACGAAAAUGGUGAGAACGUGCUAGAGUCGGAGGACCCCAUAAUCAAGAAAAGCAGAAAAGCAGUGGGGAACAAAGCAGAAAAGAGAAAGCAAAAAACAAAAGCAGAAAGCAAAAGAGAAAAACAAAAGAUUUUUCUAUUAUUAUGAUUUCUUCUGUCUACCAGGUGAAGAUAUAGAGAGAGGGCAGCAGAAAAACACUGCAAAAGCAAGGAAUAAACACCUCACCCGAAUGAUGUAAUUUAUUUUUAUCUUUUGGAGACAUCUGUAUAAACCCCAUCAGAGGGUAAUAUGUAUAAACCCCAUCAGAGGGUCAAAAAAAAAAAAAAAAAAAAAAGGAAAAGCCCAAAACAAAUGGGCUGACAUGUUGUGGAGGGCAAAGGCCCAUAGGCCUGAAAUAGCACCAACCAGGUCAUCAAAAGUACGCCCAGUACUCCGCAAUUAUUCGGCAACCCGCCGUUAUUACCACCAACCAGGUGAUCAAAAGUACCCCCAGUACUCCACAAUUAUUCGGCAACUCGCCGCUAUUACCACCAACCAGGUGAUCAAAAGUACGCCCAGUACUUCAAGUCAUACAUGAGCAUUACUCAUGUCAAUCAUACAUAAACAUUCAUGAGCAUCACUCAUCCAAUCAUACAUAAACAUUCAUGAGCAUCACUCAUGUCAACAUUCAUGAGCAUCACUCAUGUCAACAUCCAUGAGCAUCACUCAUGUCAAUCAACAUAAACAUCCAUAAGCAUCACUCAUGUCAACAUCCAUGAGCAUCACUCAUGUCAAUCAACAUAAACAUGCAUGAGCAUCACUCAUGUCAAAUCAGCUUCAAAGACUUCAUUUACAGAGCUCUAGCUUCAAAAGCUUCAUUCACAAGAGCUCUAGCUUCAAAAGCUUCAUUUACAGAGCUCUAGCUUCAAAAGCUUCAUUUACAAGAGCUCUAGCUUCAAAAGCUUCAUUUACAAGAGCUCUAGCUUCAAAGACUUCAUUUACAGAGCUCUAGCUUCGAAAGCUUCAUUUACAAAAGCUCUAGCUUUCAAAGACUUCAUUUACAGAGCUCUAGCUUCAAAAGCUUCAUUUACAAAAGCUCUAGCUUUAAAAGCUUCAUUUACAGAGCUCUAGCUUAAAAGCUUCACUUGCAAAGCUUCACCUACAAAGCUUCACCUACAAAGCUUCAGUGCAGGGUAUACAAAUACCGCCUCCGAACAACCGCCACUUCGGCCCAUACAUGGAUUCAAUUUGAAGUCUCCAGCCAACAGACUCUAUUGACCGAAGACUUGGGGGACUACAUUAUGUACCAUAUAUUGGGCCUCAACUGGGCCUCAUGAAAAAUACUUGGGGGACUCUAGCCCAUUAUUUAUGUAUUAAGGAGCGAACCCUUAUUCUAUAAAAGGGACUCCCUCACUUUCAUUGAAAGAUCACCCAUGAUUUAUGUAUUGAGGAGCGAGCCCUUAUUCUAUAAAAGGGACUCCCUCACCACCAUUAGAGAGCAUCGCCGCCUACUGAGCAACUGUCUCACUGCGAGCAUCAACUCUAGCCCAUCACUUAUGUAUUGAGGAGCGAGCCCUUAUUCUAUAAAAGGGACUCCCUCACCUUCAAUGCCACAAGCCGAGCCAACCAAGGCAACAUAAGCUACAAGCAGAGCGACCUCGCAACAUGUGCUACUUCUAGUUGAGCAUCAUUUCAGAUUGGGCACCGCCUCAUAUCAAGCAUUAGUUCUAGAAGACAUCUAGUUACUUCGGCCCACAUAUGGACUGAAUUUCAAGUCUCCAGCCAAAAGACUCUCUUGACUGAAGACUUGGGGGACUACUGUUUAUACCAUAUUUAGGGCCUCGUAUAUUUGGGCCUUGGGCCUUAUAUUUAGGCCUCACACUAAAGCCCAUACUUUGUAAAAGAGGAGGAGCCCCUUAUUCUAUAAAAGGGGACUCCUACCCUCAUUCUAGAAAAAAAAGAGCCAAGCCUAAGAAGGCUAAGAGAAGCUCUCAUUACAUUCAGGAGAGACCUCACACCACCGAGGCUCUCCUCUCCCUUCUCUUCUUUCUCUGGGGGACUUCCCCCAAACACUUGUAUCCAUACACUUACAGAGAAACAGAAUCAACUACAGUGUGGACGUAGCCCAAACAUUGGGGUGAACCACGAUAAAAUCCUUGUGUUCUUCUUGUUCUUGAGCGUUUGUGCAGAUUCACGGUCGGAUUUACGUUGUUCCAAGACCAUAAAUGUUGAUGCACAAAAUCAGCGAAGACUUUGGUACAACAGAAAGUGUCAGGUUUUAUGACCUUCGCUUGGUUGCUUCGGUCACUAGUGAGGAUAAGUACGUAAAUGAACAGAGACAGAGAAGCAAACACAGGAUGUACGUGGUUCACCCAGAUUGGCUACGUCCACGGAGUAGAGGAGUUCUUAUUAGUAGUGAAAGGCUUACACAAGUACAAAGGAUCAAGCUCUCAAUUUAGUGAGUUCUUGUGAAUGAUUUAACACAAAUGGCAUUAGGCCAUAUUAUGGGGGAAUGACCCCUAUUUAUAGAAAAACUUGUAGCUUUGUCACAUUGACAUGUGUCAUGUUAUGAUUGGUUCUUGAUGUUGACACGUGCUGCGCUCUGAUUGGCUUCUAAUCUUGACACGUGUCGAGUAGUGAUUGGCCUCCUGGUCGGAGGGGAACUCUUCUGGGUCCUUGACAGUAUAGCGUUGGCCGGUGCUCGGUAGUUUCGGGAUUGGUCAAGUAUGGUACAAACAGUUUCAAUAAAAAUUUCCAAGUUUUUCUUACAAUUUCCGUGGUUUUUAUUCAAUUUUUAUCUAUAUCGAUAAUAUCUCAAUAUUUCCAUUGAAAUUUCUGUGUUUUUGGACUACCGAUAUUUCCGAUAUCAUCGAUAUUUUAUACCUUGCUUACGUUUCAAAAAUAGUUUGGCUCUUGAAUAUGCCCAACAUUUUGAAAUUUUUUUACAACAUACUCUAUGUGUUUAUUAGAUUGUAUUUAUUUUAUCAAGAAGUUAAUCAACGUAAAUAAUUUGAAACCUUAAUACGUUUGUAUAAAAUAUAUUGAGAUUAUUAAAAAUUUGAGAUGUACAUCCCAAUUUCGAUCCAUAUUAUUUUAGAAUUUUGAAUGUCAAAUUUCAUUCGAGUGCACCAAAAUUGAAAGUUUUUGUUACCAACUUGGUCAAAACUGAUCAAAAUCGAAAUUUCCAAUCCACCUUCCACCUGUUCCAAUAAUCUAUUGGCUUGGACUUUCAAGCCCAACACCAAUGUAUGUUGACCCAACGUAACUUUAGGAGAAGAAAAUGCCCUCCAUUCCAAAAGCCCUUCCGGUCAAACACGGUGGAUACUGGAUACGCAGGUUCAAACACGAACGGGCUUUUCCUCCUCGCCGAGUCCCUCCUCGGACCUCAGUCAAUGGCAGUCUCUCUGAGAAGACUUGCAGCGGCAUUCGGCUACUCGCCACAUCUUCAAUGCGUUCAAAGCUUGUUUCCGUUGCGCUUUGGAAAUAGUUAGAGUUCCUCUGUGUCGUAUGGUAUGCCCUGAACGUGCUUGUGAAAAUGUCUCUGAGACAACACCUGUCUUGUCACUAACCAUUUCUGCACCUGCUCUGUAUUUCAAGAUCAGAGGACGGUGCUCCGACCUUUCAUCCAGAAUUCCAACAAUGGCAUAACGGAGGUGGGUCUUUCCACAAGUCUGCCUGCAUUGACCCAACAGUGUUCAUAGAGUUUGGUGCUGUAGUUCAUUCAAAAUCCGUUGUUGGCGAGCAUGCUCGUAUUGGUUCUGGAGCUGUCAUUGGAACUUCGGUCGCUAUUGGCAAUCAACCAAAAUUGGGUGACGAUCAAAUUUUUAACUCGACAUUGCGACUCCACUAAACUGUGAUAGCACUUCUGCCAUUGCAAUCACUAAGAACCCUAUUUUUCACCAGAAGACUAAACACGUCAACAGGAGAUAUCAUUUUAUCGAGGAGGCUUUGCGGAAUGAGAUCAUUGACUUGGUGUACUGUUCAACCAAAGAACAGGUAGCUGAUAUAUUCACAAAGGCUCUUACCAAAGAUCAAUUCCGUCAUCUCAGAGAGCUAUUGGGAGUGAAAUCAGUUCACAAUUUAGGGGGAGUGUUGAUGUGUAAAUUGAUGAACUGAUAUGAAGAAGAUUACAAGUUUUGUGUAGUGUAAUGCUUCAGCUCAUAGGCUAAGCUUAUGUUUUUUUGUUUUUUUGUUUUUAUUGGAGAGUUUCGAAUUCUAGACUUAACAUACUCUUACACAUCACAUUACUCACACCCUCAACUUUUCUUUUGGCACUUUUUCAUUUCAUUCAUCUUCGAAUUAAAUGAAACGUUUUUUUUUAUUUUUUGGUUGCUACAGGUCCUGACUAAGCCUGGCAUUUUGGACCCAACCGGUUAACCCGACUUGACCCAACCCAUUAAUAUUUAUAUUUGGAUGAAUGUAUAACGGGUCAGGUCGCUAACGGGUGAACCAGUUAACAACCCGUUAAUAACGGGUCACUUUGGGUCAACCCGUUAGACCCGUUAUGACCCGUUAGACCCGUUAUGACCCGUUAGCACCCGUUAGUUGAGGAUAUUUUAGUAAUUUUAGUAAAGUCUUAAUAACAAAAAAUAAAUUUUAUGCAAAAAUAAUAAUAAUUGUUAACGGGUGAAACGGGUUGAGUUCGAUGACCCGUUAGCUUAACGGGUUGGAUUCGGGUGACCCAUUAACUUAACGGGUCGGGUUCAAUCCGAUCCAAACCCAAUAAACCCGACCCGCUUACAGGUCUAGUCCUGACUAUAACUAUCUUCAACUACAAGAGAAACCCAGUUAGGUUCGUUAACCUAAGGCCUCAUUUGGUUCACGUAAUGAAAGUGAAAGGAAAACGAAUCUGGUGUUUUUUUUCCUGCCUUCUAUGUUAAAAUUGCUUGGGAAGUUGGACAAAUAGCCUUCUUUUUAAAAUAAUAUGGCACAAGGUAAACGAAGAGAGCAAAGAAGAAUUAACACACAAGGUACGUUUUCUGAAUUCCUUGAUGAUCCUGAGGAUCUUAACUCACUGGGGUUAUUAAGUUUUUGUUUUUAUUUCAGCAAUAUAUAUAGCCACUCCAGAGCUAGGAUCAAACCACUUUUGAGCCCCCUCAAGCAGUACUCGAACCAGCCUCGAGGAAGCAAAAUGAAAUUCCAGUCAGAGUUAGUUCACCUCGGCGAAAUGAUGGAAAGAGUGAGCCCAUUUGAAGCAGGAUCAGUUGUAGACUCACUGAUUGGAGCAACUCUUCGUACAGCAAAUAUUGCCGGUUGCUUUGGUUCAGGAAGAUCUAUCGAUUCACUUCCCAGCAAUACAACCACAGUUGACAUUGUAGGUCUCUCUGCAGGGUCUUCCUGGACACACAAAAGACCAAUAUGCAUGCACUUCAAAACCUCAGCUGUUGGGCAAGUUUCCAUCAACAAGGGCUCAAUAAAUUCCAACUGUUUUCCGUCCUUCCAUAGCCUCCAUGCCUGUCAAUUAUUUAAACCGAAAAAUAUUUUAAUUCCACACAAAUUAAGAUAAGUAAUCAAAGUGGACAAAGAAACAUACAUAUGCAAGGAGUGUCUUGGCAUGUUCUGUGAGAUAGAACCCACUAUUCCUUUUCCCACUAAUAAUCUCUAGCAAGAUUACACCAAAGCUGAAGACAUUUGACCGAGAAUAGACCCUCCAUUGCGUACUCUGGAGCCAUAUAACCGCUGUUUCAAGAAUCAAGUAUAAGCAUUAGCAUGUUCUAAAGAUAAAUAUGGGAGCUGUAAGAAGCAAACUCACAUUGUUCCUACAACUCUUUUAGUGUUAGCUGUGUUCUGGCUCUCACAAAAUAUCCGUGCCAUGCCAAAGUCUGAUAUUUUGGCAACCAUUUCAUAGUCCAACAGUACAUUGCUAGGCUUUAAAUCCCUGUGAAUGAUUCUAAGCCGCGAGUCCUCAUGAAGAUACAGAAGCCCUCUAGCAAUGCCUUCAAUAAUGUUGUAAUAAAUCUUCCAAUUGAGUUCAGAUCGUCUUUCUAAAUCUGAAAAUUCGGUACAAUUUAUCAUGUGCAAUGUUCGUAUGAUGUAUGAAAGUAAAAGUAAAAGAACAUUAUAGCAGAAGAGUAAGAUGAACAAACCAAAGAUAAAAACAUCAAGGCUUUUAUUUGGCAUGAACUCGUACAAAAGCAGCUUUUCCUCUCCCUCAAAGCUGCACGCCAAGAGCCGCACCAGGUUUUUGUGUUGAAGUUUUGCAAUGGUUACCACCUCAUUUUUUAACUCCUCUAAACCUUGCCAUGACUUCUUCGACAGUCUUUUGACGGCAACUUCUUUCCCAUCUGGUAGCAAUCCCUGAAAGAAUAUUGACAAAAUCAAAUGACAUACAUUUUUCGGCCUAUAAUUGAAUCAAUACUAUUGUAUAAUUAAGCCUACUUAGAACCAUAAUACAUAAUAUCAUUACCUUGUAAACAGUACCAAACCCACCUUGUCCAAGCUUGUUUAAAUCCGAAAAGUCAUUCGUAGCUAUCUUUAUAGCAGCUAGAUCCAUGAAGGCCAGCUCUUCAGAAAUUAUGAACAUCCCUUCUUCUGAGAUUGUGAUUCCAGUGGGGCUUGCCAAAUCUUGUAAUAGUACAUGCUCGUUUUUUCCUUCAUCUGCCAAAAAAAAAAAAAAAAAACAUAAGUAAAACUUACAAGGUAAUCCUACAAACUUCAGAAUAAGUUUUUAGUUUUGAUAUAUGUACCCUUGACAUCCCCUGAUCCCUUUUUGCGCCGGAGAUGGACAGCACAAAAUACAAUGGCUGCUAACAGUAUGAUGGAUGCAGAAACAAGUAUAACUGCCUUCCCACUCUUCAAUCUGUCCCCUGCUUUUUAAUAGGACGAACUUCCUUGAGCUACAAUUUACUAUGAAAAAUGUGCAUGCACUGAUGACUAAUUCACAAAAGAAAACUUUCAAGUCACUAACCUUUGGAAUGUGGAUGGAUUACCAAAGAAUUUGACGCGUCGUUAAAAAGGGGGAACAGCUCAAACCUCACAUUGCAAUUCCUACUAACAACAGUUCCACCUUGUUUAGAAGAGCAACAUCCCAGAAGAUCUGUGCUAGCAAAAUUCAAACAGCUAUGGCAGUCACUUGCAGAAAUGUCUCUAGUACACUGCUGUAAGCCAUAAAUUGUAUCCUUUCCUGAAAAUUUAAUUUUCCCAGUUGCAAACAUAUUCUUGGAGGGACUAAACGCGGCUGCUUCAGAGAGGUUUAUCAUUAAAGAGUUCAAUACAUCAUUGAAAUCGUGUGGAGUUGAUAUGUUCUUCUCCUGAUUAUUCUUGUCCGGAUACUUUCCGGUGUAAACCAUUAGUUGAAAGAACAUCUGGUAAGAAUAUUGAACUUGACAUAGCUCGUACCAAAUCAUUGCAUCUGUUGUUUUGCACCUCUUGAAGAUUUCCUUGCUUGCUUCAUCAACACAGUUUUGACAAACUGUGGAGUUAACAUCCCAUCUACAAAGUGCUUGUCCAUAGACUAUGUCCCGUCCAUCUCCAAUCGUAUCGUUAUAGAAACCUCCUUUGAUCGAAGUGUUGGAAGAUAACGACUCAAGUAGCCGCUCGAGAUUGCUUUCAAAUUGGCUCUUUCUGUCACCACCUGAACAAAAACUUGUAAGGGGAUCAGUAGCAGAAAGGGCAGCUGGCAUCAACAGCGGAAUAAUUGCAAAAAGCAUUACAGGAAGUUUAUCUUUAUCCAUUUUCUAGAAAGGGCUCACAGUGAACACGGAAUUAGGCCAAUGGCAAGAAACAAUUUGAUGAUUUAUUUUGGUAACUUUUCAGUUUUGACAUCGAAGUUCCAGCUACUAAUUUUCAUCUGGUUAACCGUUGAUUACACCACAGAAACUUCCUUGCUGAUCGAAGACGCAAGCCGGCUGAAUAAAGUCAUGAUCUGCAGAUUGAUAGAGACCAGGAAUAGCACAUGGUAUUCAAAUGAUAUGAUUAACUGUUGACUAAACAAAGACUUUGCAGCUUAGUCGCAUAUAAGGCAUGCUUAAAAUACUUAUAUUAAAAUGUGACCAUCUUAGAGUUCAUGUAUCUAGAGUCUAUUUAGUGUAAGUCUAACUAUUUGUUUGACGGACCUGGAUUGUCUACCCUCACCAUCCUAUACUCUUCUCAUCCUCUCCUAUUUAUGUGGUCACGGUUAAACCACAUUAACAUUUUAUAUUCCCAUUGUUUUUUGUCUUAUUAUUUCUAUAAAAAAUAAUCAAUAUAAAAUGUUGACGUGGCUUAACAGUGACCACAUAAAUAGAAGGGGAUGGGAAGGGGAUGAGAUGGGGGAGGGCAGACAAUCCAGGUCCUUAUUUGACCAUUCUACUUAAAAGGAGCAGUCAUGAAAGUACUAGUAAUUUAGUAUAAGGUGUUUGGACUUUAGCAUAGAACUAGAAAAUUGUGCAUGCACGUUGUUGCGGGAGUGAAAAUCCAACUAUAGAACAUGUUCUAAAAAUAUAUAACUCCCAAAAUAUAAAUGCAUAGAAAUCCAAACUAAUACUAUUUACACAAAGAUAAUGAAGGCUGUAUAGAUAAUGUAGCAAAUAUUUUUUACAGGCUAGUGUCUAGAUUUAUACAUUUUAUACAAAAAAAAAAACAAAACAUUAGCAAACACUUUGUCAUUGACAUACACAAAUGGUUAAUAUGAUAUUCCCCCUAGGCAGUCAUCCUAGUUCUUGAUUCACAUCAGUAGUUGCAGAUAAAAGAUUUGAAAACAUUAGAUUGUCCUUGUACACAAAAAAAUUGGGGAACUAAUCUUACAAUGGCCUAUUCACAUGCAAAAAAUAUGGAGAAGCAUUGUUCUAGUUUGAACAACAGAUGAUAACAUUGUACGUUUGUAAUCGAUCCCAUUCCAGCAAUAAGAAAAGAAAAUAUUUUUGUAAUCGGAAGAAACUCGGUGCUAAUAGUAAGAAAAACUUUUAGACUAAUUUUCUAAAAGCUUGUUGCUUCCUCUAAAUGUUUUUCAAACUAUUAGCAGCAAGUUUCUUCUGAUAACAAAAAUAUUUUCUUUUCUUAUUGCUGGAAUGGGAUUGAUUACAAACGUACAUAGACAUCUCUUUUAUAGAGAUUUUACACAACAACAUAAAACAUAGGUGUUCAAAAGUCUUUACUUUCACACAUAGCUUUAGACUUUUACAUACACAUUUGAACUUUUACAUACACCAUUAGACUUUUUUUUACACAUAAUUAAAGUAAUCCCAGAGAAGAAAAUGGACUUGGAUUGUCUGCCCUUUAAUUUAUGUGCCCUCCUCGUGCCCUCCUGUUUUUGUGAUCACAGUUAAGCCACGUCAACAUUUUAUAUUACUAUUUUUUUUUGUUUUAUUAUUUUUAUAAAAAAAAUUAAUAUAAAAUAUUGACAUGGAUUAACCGUGACCACACAAAACAAGAGGGCACAGGGAAGACACCUAAAUGGGGAGGGCUGACAAUCCAAGUCCGAAGAAAAUACCAAGGAUGCCUGCAUCAUUAAAGUAAUCCCAAAGAAGAAAAUUAAAGUAGCUUUAUUAUGUGCUAUUAAUGAUGUAGUGGGUGGGAGCUGGUGACUUUGUUUAUGGGGUGUGAUAUCCACAUCCUAUUUUUUACUUCUCAUACAUUCUUACAAUUUUUGACAGUCGGAUCAGAUGAAUUGAAGAAGAUUAACGAACAGAAAUUAACAAAGGUUGUAUGAGAAAUAAAAAUGGGUGUGUAGAUAGCACAACCCUUGUUUUUAUGCAGACAAAACUUAACAACAAAAAAAAAAAACUUAAUUAAGACUUGACGGCUAAAAGUUAACGAUAUAGUGGGAGCUGAUGUAGAAACAUUGUUCAACUUUCAGUUUUAUCACUUCCUGGAAUCAAAUAGUGUAGAUGCACUGUGAAAGCAUGCUGGUUUAUUUGUUAAUUAUUGAGAAGUUCAGGAUAACAUAUCAACGUGAAACACGUUUGGAUGAUUUGUUAAUUAUUUGAGGAGCUCGGGUAACCCACCAACGUGAGAGAUUUUUCAGUGUGAUCGUCACACGAGAUAAUACAUCAUAUAUUCCUAUAUAAACAGUGGAUUAUGUGUGUUAAAAGAUUAAUAACUUAAAAAUUAAAAUUUUCUACGACUUGCAUAAAAACACGUGCUCCACCAAGUGGAAAAUGAAGCACAGGUAUUGAUCACGUUGGAACAGCUGGCUGCCAUUUUGUAUUUUUCUGGGUUAGGGGGAUGUCUAGGAUUUGGACAAAAGUUAUAAAUCUCUUUUGGACUACUUAGCCAUUUUAAUCACUUUCCUUUCUUUGUUUAUGGCCUUUUCCUGGGGCUAGACUGCUUUUUAGCCUCCUUUGUUUUACGUCCCAUGGUAAUUCAACUUAAAUGGUAAAGAGAGAGGAUUGAUAAAAAGAAAAAGGAAAGAAACCAAACCUUUAACCAUGACAUAUAACAAAUAGAUUAACCCAUGCACAAAAAGUCAAUAAAUUCAGUAAAAACUGAAGGCAAAGAGUAAAUUCAAACAAUUGAGAAACAUACAUGAGGCAACACAUGGAGAAAAAGUGAAAAUAAUUGAGUAAAAAUGAAAGGAAAAAAUAAAUGCAAACAAUUGAAUAAUAUAUAUAUAUAUACACAACAGCCAGAAGCAUGCAGAGAGAAGCGGUAAAAAUCCCAAAUUGUGGCGAUGGAAUUUGUUGCGAGAUUGAAGGAAUUUCGCUGAGAAUUGUUCCUCUGAAAACUGCUCCAGUUUGGCUGAGUUUGAGCGUUGUGGGCUUGCAACUGAGAAACAUUUGGUGUAGGUAGCAGUGGAGGAUUAUUAGAGGCCUGGAUGGAAUUGAAGGCUUGAUAUGGUUCUUGAGAGGAAGAGCCACUUAUUUGAUUAUCUUGAAAACCCACCUGAUCCUUCUCACAAUCCAAAAUCUAAAUAACCACUUAAAAUCCAUAAAAUUACAAUGAAAUCAAUACCAGAAUGCACCAAACAGUUAAAAAAAUUGCAGUAAAGGCAAGGAUGAAUUCAACAGCCCAAAUAAGCAAAAAGAUUCAUACCUCAAUUGAAUUUUGAACUUGAUUCUCGCUUAAAAAUCUUAAAUCUACAAAACCAAAUUAGUAUUAUUAAUAAUAAAGUAACACGAUAAUGAAGCAAACAACAUUGAAAAAUAGAAUCUAGUAAAGGUAAAGAUCAAUUCAACAAUCUAAAUAAGCAGAAGCAUUCAUACCUGAACUGAAUUUGCAGGUUGAUUUUGUCGCUUAAAAAUUCUGAUCUACAAAACCAAAUCAAUUUUAUUAAGAUUUGAUAUGAAAAACAAAUCUAUAAUACAGGCUUUAAAAUAAUACAAAGAAAGAAACAGUACCACACCAAACAAUUUCAUCGACGCCAUCCCUCAUGACUUGCCAAAAUAAAAAAUUUCAAAACAGAUUGAAAGCAACAUUAAACUUUAAAGGCUGCACACAAAACCCUCAAAAAUAACUAUUUCCUCCAAAUGAAAAGACAAUCAAAUUAUCUAAUUAUACCUAGGAUCUAAACACAGAAACAAAACCCUCUAAAUAAAUAAAUAAAUGUUAUCCUUUUUCACCUAUAAAACACACCUCUAACUCCAACCAAUGACGCCACAGCCAUCUUUCUCUCACUAACAAUUAUAAAACACACCUCAAUUAAAUAAGAUCAGUUCCGCAGUGAUCUGAAGACAUGUUGCGACGAAAGGGGUGGAAAUUAGCCAAAAUUCAGGCCAGAACCAGGAAAGCCCAGACGGAAUAAAGCACAAACAGUGUGAAUAGAUCAAUGUUUUAAAAGGCUCGUCUCAGGGCGCGCCUAAGCGCCCUGUGAGGCUGGGCUUAAGGGUUGCCACCUCUGUUUUGAGGGAGUGGGCGGAAGGCGCCGUCGGAGUUGCCUAGGCACGCCUUAGGGGAUUUUUUUUUUUACUCCCAAACCCAAAUUUUAGGUAGGAUUUUAACUGCCUCAUACCUCUUCCUUGCACUAUCGUCUCUCUACCUUUUUUUUCUGAUUUUUAUUUUUUUAUAUAAUGGAUGUGUGUGCUGUCUGCGUGCAUUGUUAUAUGUGUGCUCAUUGUGCUUUUCAUCCUCUAUUUUAUAUAUACAUAUAUAUAUAAUAUAUAUGUAUAUAUAUGUGCGUGUAUAUGUAUUUAUAAUAUAUGUGUGUGCUUAGGGUGAUUAUUGAUUAAUAAUCUUCUUUUUUUAAUAUAAUAUAUGUGUUCACUUAGUGUAUAUGUUAAAAAAUUUAGGUCCCGUGAGGCUUCGUCUCAUGCCUAGGCUGGGCUAUCCCUCGAACGCCUCGCCCAUGCCUCACGGUUUUAAUAUUGGAAUAAAUGUAGAACGGACGUAGAAGCAGAUACUUUACAGCAACAAUUAACUUGUCCAGCGAUUUUAACGCAAGAAAUUUACACAGAUAAUUUGGAUGGAAAAGAUGAGAAGGAUGUGGAGAUGGAAAAUGCAGAGAACACAGGGUUUGAGAGAGACCAAGGCAGGCAGAAAAAGCCACGAAAAUAAAGAGAGAAACAAACCAAAUUGAAAACGGCACUGAAGAAAAAGUAAAACAGAUGAUUGACCUUGGAUCCGCAUCCACCUAUGAUGUAUGACUUAUAUGAGGAAAGUGACAUUCGCUUGUGGAGCUUCUGCUGAUCAACGAUGAUGAAAAUUAUUAUAUUCUUUUUAAUGCAAAUCAUUCAUAUACUCAUUCAUGAUCUUCGAAGCCAUUGGUUGAAAAUUUUACUGACAGUGACAGAAAGGCGGAAUGAAAAAAGGAAGACUUUUCUUUUGCUCAAGAAACAGAUCCUCAUCAGAAGAGGGAGAGAGAGGGGUUUGGUAUUUUGCCAAAUAUAUAAUAAUUAGUAGUAGAAAAUAAAAUAAAUAAAAUGGGGAAGGGAUAUUGGGAAGGAGAAAGAAGAUGUGGGUCUGAGUUUCUAAUGCCUCGAGAGUACAUGUAGGAAAACGACACUCCAACAAAGCAGGUCCCUCUCACUCUGCUUUAGUCAAUACUCGAACAGGAAAGGACAACGAUGAAGGACUCGUGCCCAGCGAGGGCAAAGGAGGACAAAAACAGAAAACCAAGAGCAAUUAAAGGGCAAUUCCGCUCUUUCACUGUUAAUGAACAGUGCUUUUUGUGUUGGGUUUUAGUAUAUGUAUAACUAGCAACGGUGCCCGUGCGAUGCUGCGGGUUUUUAAACAGCAUAAAACAUAUAGAAAGUUAUAUUUACAACUCUGCUUAACUCAAUCUAUUUACAACUCUGCCUAACUCAAGGAAUAGAUAAAAUUUUGUUUCUUACCUAAAUAUACGAAUUUGAAUUAAAUGUAUCAAAGAAGUAUAGAGUGGAGCAAACCUUGUAAUUUCUAUAAGGUGGGCAGCUGGAAUACCAAUAGUGAUAUAAUUUGACGGAAUCUGGCUAUAAUCCAGCUUGGUUGUUCUUUGUAAAUUUGUUGGAAAAUGUAGUAGUUGGCUUGAAAAUAACAAUCAAGAGCGUUGAACAAAUCAAACCUGAAUGAUAUCAAAUCCAAUCUUAAUUAUGUACCAAUGGUGAACUUAUAUUUCAAAGGCACCAUGAAGCAUAAAAGUUUAACCAAACAAUGAAAAUUGAAACGUAUAAAAGUUUAGUGAAACAAUCAAAACCCAGUUAGAAACCUCAAUGGUUGAGCUCACAAACUAUGCAAGUUUAUGUUGUAUUAAUUCAUGCACAUCAUUGCACUAAAACAACGGAAAAUGCUAAGAAAGGUUAGACAUACAUAGGAUUUUGAUGCUAAAAGCAGUACCUGAAAUGGGCAAAAAAGUUGGACAGUGCAAUGGACUUGAGAGCUUCUCCAUGAGAUAUAAGACACAUCAUUGUGGGCAAGAAAUUGGGAAUUUAGUGUUAUGGUUUGAGUGUAUGGAAACAAUAUAAAUUAGAAAUAGAAGGGGGGCAGCUUGAACACAUAUUGGAGGAGUUUUGACGCCAUCUUUUAUCAAAUAGGUGGUGGGCACUAAAAUAUUCAAUUUGACAUAGUCAAGCUCAUUUACAGUUGUUUAUCCACUAAGCAAAAGACACUGUGAAUGUAAAUGUUAUUUUUAAACACGAAUCAAAAGCGUGAAAUUAUACUCUUAAUAUAUUUUUGAAAUUUUAUUUCAUUAAGCUGUGUUACCCAAAUGAAGGAAUAAAUAUAGGAUCAGGAUGGCAGGAAACUGGUGCAUGUUCUCUACGAAGCUUUGCUAGUUCUCUGUUUUCCUCAAUUCAAUUAAGAGUUUAGACCCACUAAUUUAUCAGUAAAUAAAUAAACACAGUAAAAAACCUUAAAUUACCCAAUUAGAAUAAUGACAACAAUUGGACAAAACAAAAGAAACCGUAGAGAUUCAGCAGUUCAGUGUCUACAACCUCAAAAUUUUACUGAGUUUAUGCAACUAAAGGGGCAAUCAAAUUAUUAAAUUGUAAACAAAGUAUCCAAUUUCACGAAAAAAUAGUAUCUAAUAGCACAUUAGAUAGUAAACUUGGAAUUAACCACUGGAUUUUGCAAGACAGCAUUUAAGAUAGAUGUGUAAACAUGGAUACAAAUGCCUAUCUAAAUGGGUAAGGCAUGUGUGGUUGUUUUUGUGCAUUCAUAUGUUUAUCACAAAAGAUAACACAGGGCAAUAAAGUAUUUUGUCAAAUUGGAAAUUGUGAAUAUAAAUUUGUCUAAAAUUUGUGGAGUGAUUAAUCUGAAAAAAGUUGCCAUAUAAGAAUGGGAUAUAAUAUGUGCUAAAGAUGGAUCAGAUAUCUUUGGUUUGGUUUCUCUGCAAAAUAUAGAGAUGUAAUUUGAUCAAGCAUUUCAGAUGUCAUCAUUUUCAUCUUUUUUCUUCAGAGGAAUUGGUUGUUACCAAUAUAUAGAUAAAAACUUUCUUCUUUUCGCUUGCUCUAUAUACAUAAUCAAGUAUUCAACUGUUUAUUGAGAAGUUUAAGACGGAUAUCUAAAAGUAUGGAUACAAAUGCUCCAACCAAAGAUACACCUUCUCCAUAUGCUUUGAUUGAUCCAAAAAACAUCUUAGGAUUGGAAAAAUUGUUAAAUCCGGGUAAUGAGUGAUGGAAAUAGUACAUGGAUAGAUUUAACCAUUUCUGUAUCAUUAAGGUGUACUUUGGCUAAUUAAGGCAUGUGGAGAGGGUAUAUCUGUAGUAGAGACAAUUUUACUAAUACUUAUGUAUACCUAUCUGAAUUUGUUAAUGGUCAGGCAAACAAUUGGUCAUGUAUUGAGACCAAGCCAAAAGAAGAUAAUGAUUAUCUAUACUAGUAACAGCCAAUUCCCCUAAAAAAAACGUUACCAAAAAUCGAAUUUAAACGUCAAAUAUUGACAAAAGAAAACAAAUGAACCAUGAAGAAUAUGGGGAGGCUAGACAAAUAAUAAUGGUAGGGUAGAGGUGAGUCAUCUCACACUCACUUUUUGAACAAUUAUUAUUUUUUAAGCAGGAAUCUUAUCUCAAAAUCAAAAGUUAGAUAGACAAUUCACACAAAGACUUUUAAAAUCUCACACUCACUUUUUGAACAAUUAUUAUCUUUUAAGCAGGAAUCUUAUCUCAAAAUCAAAAGUUCGAUAGACAAUUCACACAAAGACUUUUAAAGUUGGGUGUCAUGGAAGAAACAAUUGUCGGAUUCUGAGUAAAGUGGAAUUCUUCAUCUUAAACUUUAAUCUCAUAAUUAUGUAAUUGUCAUUAUUUAUGCUUUUGAGAUGAGAAUAUGCUACACAAAUAAUAGUGGUAGGGUCGAAGUGAGUUUUCCCUCACUUAUUAUAGGUUCAUUGUUUGUUUGAUUCUUUUAACUAAAAAUAAGCACACAAUAAUUGCAUUUAUAAUUCUUGUCCCCCAAGUCCAUAUAACUCCUACAUAAGAAAUAUAUAUAUAUAUAUAUAUAUAUAUAUAUAUAUAUAUAAAAGGAAAAGACAGUAGCAAAGCAAUUAAAACAGUCUUAUAGUGUAAACAGUUUCACACCAACACAAUAAAACAGAUUUGUAGAAAAUGCUGGCAAAACAAGGAAUAACGAAAAGAAAAAACAUGCAAUGAUCAUAAUCCAAAAUCAUUUAAGUAAUUAAUCCACAUCGGAAAUCACACAUUACAAACCCAAACCAAAAUAUAUCAUGCGAGACAUUUUAUUUCUACCUUUGUUGUUGCGUCUUUAUACUGAUCAAUAGCAGAAUUGCUUUCUUUUUGAACAAUCUGCGAAGGUCAAGUUUUUAAAAACCUGCAAUCACAAUAUACAGUUUUAACACGACAAAGACAGAGGGAAUUACAGUUUCAAGAAUUUAUAACAUCAAAACAAUUGCCCCAUAGCGAUAGCAUUGAUAAACAAAGAUAUAUCUCUUAAUCAAAACGAAAGAAUACACAUCAACAAAAAAUGUUAAGUUUUUGUCCUUCCUGAUCAAUACACCUUAAAAAUUAAGUGAUAUAUUCAGAAAAACUGCUAAGUUUUUAAGAUUCCUGAUCAUCGCAGUUUAAAAAUCAAGUGAUUCGUUUCUGCUUUUGCUGUUCAGAGGCCAGUCCCCAGCUGCGCUCUCUCUCUCUCCCCCCUCUGAGAAAAUUCACUUACUUCUUCAUCGGGUCUUCGAAUUUGACCAAAAAGAAAACUGAUUUUUUAUUUCUUUCUUUAAUUAAGAAAAUUGGGUGAUUCAGUUCUCCAUUUUUGGAAAAUUUUAAAGAAUCAGGUGCUUGUGGAGAAUGUGUGAGUUAAUUUUUGAACUUUUUUAAAAUACCAUAUAAUUGCAAACUAAUUAGGCAAAUGGGUCGCUGAAAUUCACCGCAAAAAUGCUCCGCAGAAUUGUUGAUUCUAACAAAAUUGAUAGAACCGAGUGGAAGUUUGUAAGACCCAUUUGCAGGAAGGAAACGGGUGCUCUGAAGAAAUUGAAAAGAUAGAAAAUUGAUAGUUCUCAUCCGCAACCACACUCCUUACACCCCCUGUCUCUUUCCCCAACCCUUCUUCACCAAAUGACGCACCCGACCUCUCUCCCCACAGCCAAGGAGCAACCAAAUUCAACUCCAAUAUAAUCGAACUUAAACAAAACUCUAAAUCCACCAAAAACAAAACCCCCCAAUAAUUACAUGUUUUUUCUAAUGCUAUGCAUUGAAUCAAUUGAGAACACAGAAAGAAAACCAAUUUUCAGGGUUUCUUUCAAACAAAUACAAACUGAGAAUCGAAAAUUACGCGUAGUUGUUUUAAAACUUACCCAAGUUCAAUAUAAUUUCUUUGUCAAUAAUCUGAAGAGGCAGCAUGCGAUUAGUCACCAAUUUCACAAAAAAUUUGUCCCAACCUGCAGAUCCGCAGCAAAAACAAAAACAAAGACCUUAAAUUUAUCGGCCUAGAGAUAGCAAAAUGAGGAUAAAACAUUGAGAACAAACUAACCUUAAAGUUCUUGCCCCGACGAUCGCAAGAUGAGAACAAAACGCCGAAUAACAAAGGAUUCAAUACCGGGGGAGACUGGAAACUAAAUGCGAAAGAAAAAGAAAGGAUUUGAGGGCAAAAGACGGGCUGACGAAGAGGGAGAAAACCGCAGACUAAUGAAGGUGAAAAACGAAGAGGAAGGGUAAAAGCAAAAAAGAUGCGGUCAAAGCAGAGAAACAAAGGAUGAAAGACGCGCGGCUGGGGAGGGCAUAGCCGACUUUCCACUGUAGAAAAGUGGAACAGUGCGCAGAGCAAAGAAGAAAUCAAGGGUAUUUUCGUCCUUUCACUCGUAAUAAACAGUAUCAGAAAACUGGAUUUUAAUAUAUGCAUAAUUUGGCAACAAAAAUUGGAGGUGAGGAUAUAGACGUGAUGAGUGAUACAGGAAGAUAGGAUAUAAUCAGGAUCCUUUCCUCCUAAUUCAUUAAAUCAAGAAAUUUGUGUUGUUAAAAUUUGAUUCAACAGUUGAAGUUAUUAUAACUUUUAAAGUAGAUCUCUAUUUGUAGUCGUUUGAUCAAAUUUCAACGUGUAUUAAGAGAAAUGAUCCCUUUCCUAGAUUAAGCAUCCCCUAGUUUUAGUCGUUAAUUAAUUACUAAUUUUUUAUAUUAUGUUGACUACUUUUGAACCUGAAUAUAAUUACAGCCAUCUUAACUGAAUUCAAAUCAAUGAGCAUUAUCAUAGUUUUAUACUUUAGUGUCAAGUUAUGAUAAAUCUAGCCUUAAUUUGCCGCUAGUGGCCUCCAUCAUAAUAAUUAUUACAAAUUAGUAAACAAGCUAUAAGUGCCAUUUCCAGGUUGGUUCGGGUUUUGUUACUGAAAUGUUAUAGGUUCGAGUCGUGACGUCUAUUAGUAAAGUAAGGAUAAUGUUGCGUACACUAAAUUUUCCUCUUCUGACCCUUGCAAAGCAAAAAGCUUUAUUGGCUUGGUGUCAUCUUUUUAGUUCUCAUUAGAAAGGAAUAAACCAGUUGUUAUUAGCAAUUUGUAUCAGCUAAACUGCCAGUAACUAAUAUUCACACAACAGAACUAAGCAAAACUUUGUGGUAUAGACAACAAGUGAAGAAUUUCAUGACAAAGUUACCACAGGAAAGCUUCAACUCUGUGCAGAUUCAUGAAUCUUAUGGUGUUAUCGUGGCACGACGAUAGAAACUGUUAGACCAUUAAUAGAGCUACCACCAGCAGCUGUCUCGAUAUAAUGGUCAGUGAAUAUUCCCGUCGUGAAAGCAGGUUUCUCGGGUUGGCUAAGAGUUACAGUUUCACUUUUCAACAUUACAACAGCAGAAGACAUGGUUGGCCUGUCAUACGCAUCUUCCUGGACACACAACAAUCCGAUAUGGAGAUAUCUUAGAAACUCAUCUGGAUCACAUGAAUCGAGUAGUAGUGGGUCGAGUAGCUCCAACCCUUUUCCGUCAUGCCAUAAUUUCCAUGCCUGCAUCGUAGUCAAUUGGAUAAGCAUUAAGCUGCUGUUUAAUUGCAAAGAGUCUUGCUCUGAGAGAAGUGCAUGAAGUAACUUACAUAUGUUACAAGGCUAGGAACACGUUUUAUUUGAUGAAAGCCGGCGUUCCUUCUCCCAGUUAUGAUCUCAAGCAAUAGUACUCCGAAACCAUAAACGUCAGACUUGACAGAAUAUACUCCCUCCAUUGCAUAUUCUGGAGCCAUGUAUCCGCUAUUCCAAUACAAAAAUCCAGAACAAAAUGUUGAGUACCAUAAGUUUCCUAGUGGGAAGAAAAUUUAGAAAUGAAGCACUUACUAUGUCCCAACUAUUGUAGUCGUAUUUGCUUGGCCUUCACUUCCUGCAAAGAUCCUUGCCAUGCCAAAAUCGGAGAUCUUAGGGUUCAUAUCAUCGUCUAAUAAAACAUUGCUAGCUUUCAGGUCUCUAUGGAUGAUUUGAAGUCGAGACUCCUCGUGUAAAUAAAGAAUUCCCCUUGCAAUUCCACUUAUAAUGUUUACACGUCUGCUCCAAUCAAGCUGCGCUCGUUUCUCUGAAUCUAAGCAUCAUUGGAGGAGAAUUUACAGACUAUAAUAUUUCUGACAAGAAAAUCUUAGCAAUAGUAUAAAACAGUUGAAGUUAAAUCCCACAUACAGAUUUUUGAGAGGAUCAAGAGAAAACAUACCAAAGAGGAAGACAUCUAGGCUGCUGUUUGGCAGGUAUUCAUAGACAAGCAGUUUUUCCUUUCCCUCAACACAAAAACCCAAAAGCCGAACAAGAUUUUUAUGUUGAAGUUUCAUUAGCAGCCGAACUUCAUUUGUGAAUUCCUCUGAGCCUUGCUCAGAACAGCUUGAAAGCCUCUUGAUCGCCACUUCUUUACCGUCACUCAGUACACCCUGCGAAAAACCAGAUUUUAAAUCAAACCACAGAAAAUACCAACCAAGUGGAAGAUAGUAAUACAAAUAUCGAUUUAAUCUUCGCAUAUGUGAACUUUUUGUCCAUAGUUUGCUCAAGAAACAAUUUGCUUUUACUUUAUACCUUGUAAACAGGCCCAAAACCACCUUCUCCGAGCUUAUUUGAAUCAGAAAAUUUAUCCGUAGCUGCAUGUAUAGAUGCCAAACUGAUAUAGGGGUACUCCUCAACUUUCUGGUUUCUGCCUUGAAAACUUCGGUCCGGGAACAAUACAUGUUGUCUUAAAAUCUCACUACUCCCUGAACAGAUCGAAAGAAAAGCUGCUUUCAGAAAAUAUAUUAGAGUGAUGAUCAGCUUUAAAGCAUUUCCAAAUGCAUUAUUAUUACCCUUUUUGUUUCUUUUUCUUACUGCAAGAUGGACACAGGAACCCAAAAGUAGUAUGGCUAGACAUGCUGACACAACCGUAAGGAUCGUGAUCCGCCACCGCCAUCCUCUACCUUCAUUGGAAACAACUAUGCAUUUGCAGUUAAUUUUUAACAUUGUAGCGUCAAAAUAGACAUACACCUUAAAAGUACUCACCGUCCCCUUUGUUGUUAUUUGGAGAGCUGGAAAUAGAAGCUUCAGUUGCACCUUUAUAGAAGCCAUACAACUCGUACCUCAGAUAGCAACUCCGGCUCAUAAGCCGUGCACCAAUGGAGAAAUAAUACUUUCUCAAAACGUCUUCUAUGGCUUGCUGAAGGCAUUUGCCACAGUCAUCUCCAGAUAAGUCUCUAGUGCACUGCACAAGAGCAUAUAUCACUUUAUCUUCAAAUGGUACAUCUCCAGUAGCAUACAUUUUCGCUGAAGCAUCAUAUGCCGCUUGCUUCGCAAGCUCCCUCAGCUUCUCCUUCACAGUAUUCUCGAACUUUUUUGGGUCUGAAACGUUUUUCUUGUUAGUGGACACAAUGUUGUCUGCCACAUUCAAUUCACCAUAGAACUUCACAUCGGAGUAGCGCAGUUGGCACGUUUCCUCCCACACAACUGAUUCUGUUGAGCUGGGACAAAUCCUAACAAUGUCUAAAUGCGCGGUGUUGAUGCAGUUGUGACAUAUCUCAUUCGUAACAUAAUUGAGGCACAUAUAAAGGCCAUAAACUCUAUCUGGUUCAUUUCCAGCGGAGGUAUUGUACAGCUUGGAAACAGAAGCAUUUGAAGGCAAUGAAUUUAGCAGGCUAUGGAGGUUUUUCUGAAACGUACUAUUUUCGACAUAACCGCGAACAUCUGAGCACAACUUGUAUGGAGGAUCAGGAUCAGCAUAAGCAAGAUCA
rnacentral:lncRNA from 1 species